UACAGAGGGGGCAAGCGUUGUUCGGAAUUACUGGGCGUAAAGGGCGCGUAGGCGGCCUUCUAAGUCAGACGUGAAAUCCCUCGGCUCAACCGGGGAACUGCGUCUGAGACUGGAAGGCUUGAAUCCGGGAGAGGGAUGUGGAAUUCCUGGUGUAGCGGUGAAAUGCGCAGAUAUCAGGAGGAACACCGGUGGCGAAGGCGGGUCUCUGGGCCGAUACUGACGCUGAGGAGCGAAAGCGUGGGGAGCGAACAGG
rnacentral:rRNA from 1 species